rnacentral:lncRNA from 1 species
ACAGCAUCAGUUCAUCAAGAAAAUUCCAUUUCAAACCACUGAUGAAAAAAAAAGGAUGGGAAAAAACUCACAAAAAAAAAUUGGUAUUUUCAUCUUUUAUAAAAACAGGAGCAUUAAACAACUUUAAUCUAAUUUCACUUGUUUUAUUGGUUCUCUUCUGAUGACCACAUGGCUUCACAUACUGAAUGUUCAGCCUUUUGCCUUGCACAGAAAAGCACAAUGAAAUAACUUGGUGCAUCAUCACAGGAGAAGCUCAUCUUUCAUUUUAGUCUUUCUCCUCACCAUGGGUGAUAACAUAACAGAGGUUCUUAUAGUCAAGAUUACCAGAGACAUCUGGAGGGAAAGCAGCAAACAUCUGGUUGAUCUCUUCUUGACUGAACCGGUCUGCUUGUGUCAUAAGCAUUUCUUUGAUGUAGUCUGCCUUUAUGUGGCCUUUUCCUUCUGGGUCGAAAAUCUUAAAAGCAUUCAGAAUGGUUUCUUCUGGGUCCGUGCCUUUCAGUUUUUCCCCAAACAUUGUAAGAAAGACAGUGAAGUUAAUGGGACCUGGCGCCUCCUUCACCAUGUCUUCUAGCUCUUCAUUCUUGACAUUCAGACGACCCAGUGCAGCAAAUGUGUCUCUCAAGUCUGCUUUAUCAAUAAAGCCAUCCCUGUUCUGAUCCAUGAUGGUAAAUGCUUCUUUGAACUCCUGGAUCUGGGUUUGUUCAAACAUAGAGAAUACAUUGGAACCACCUUCUACCUUCUUCUUUGCCUUUUUUGGAGCCAUGCUGCUGCUUCUCCUCCUGUCCUUUCUCUGCCAACUAGUCAGCCAGCAAACACAAUGCCAAUUGCCUCUUUAUAUAGUGUCACCAAGGAAUAAAAAUAUGUCUGCUCCAAGUUUAGACAAUAGAUGUAAGAUUGGAAAAGUGCAGUAAUUGGAUCCCAA